rnacentral:rRNA from 1 species
UACAGAGGGGGCAAGCGUUGUUCGGAAUUACUGGGCGUAAAGGGCGCGUAGGCGGCGACCCAAGUCAGAUGUGAAAGUCCUGGGCUUAACCUGGGGACUGCAUUUGAUACUGGGUUGCUUGAAUUCGGGAGAGGAUAGCGGAAUUCCCAGUGUAGAGGUGAAAUUCGUAGAUAUUGGGAAGAACACCGGUGGCGAAGGCGGCUAUCUGGACCGACAUUGACGCUGAGGCGCGAAAGCGUGGGGAGCAAACAGGG